CUCUAGUUGACCGUAGACAGAGUACAGGAGAAAGCAGCUUUGAAAAACAUGAACUUAUGAAUGAAAAGACAAUAGUUCCCUGGAGGUACAGAGAUAAGUUUACGCAUUUAUAACGCUAAAAUCCCCAGUUGAUUCCCUACAGUGGACACAGCUGGUAGUCCAUUGUGACUUUUCUCUAUAAACACCAUUAUUUUUUACAAGUGUGGAUCUUUGUUGAGAUAAAUAUUUAGCACUAUAGAAAGCUGAGUAAAAUAACAAGUCCCUGCUGGCGCCAGUUAGACCAAACGAACGCGCUUAACCAAGGACAUAAUGGGUGUUAAUUUCAGCGUAUAUCCAACAGGUUAGUGUGCAUUCGUAUUGAACGAAAAUCGUCCAAGUUGCCACUGCUACCUCGGGCACUUUGAAAGCUGGUGCCGAGAAACCACAAGUAACGAAGACCGUCAAUCAUUAGUAAGCAGUUAAAAAGACAGCGACGAUCUAAGUAAGCAAUAAAUAGCUCAACUCUUUUUCAUACGUCAAGACGAGUAACACAGAAUCUUCGUAAACAGGGGAAGAUCCAAAUUAACAAUCUACAACAACUUCAGACGUAGUUUGCAGUCACCGAGAUACAGCUAUUGUAGAAAGCAGUGAGGUAAUAAUGCAAGCUGAUACAGUAAAUGACAGUCCCUCUGAUCAACCAUAUCCAGGAAGCAGUACAGAGGCAGACACAGAAGUCUCUGUACUUCAGCCAAUUUCCACAGAGACCAGAGAUCCAAAGUUCUCGCCAUAUAGUGAACUGGAUAUGGCCAAGCGCAGUAGUUUGUACCAACAUGGAGCCAGCCAACUACCAGUGAUCUAAACAUAGAUCGUUUCCAAAGCAAAAGUCCUUGCUUCAUCAGCUGGAACCAUGAUAGAGUUUGAAAAAAAAA